rnacentral:rRNA from 1 species
CUACGGGGUGCACCAGUGAGGAGUUUUGCGCAAUGGGGGAAACCCUGACGCAGCAACGCCGCGUGAACGAAGAAGGCCUUCGGGUCGUAAAGCUCUGUCAAGUGGGAAAAACGUUUUCCGGUGAAUAGCCGGGAGAUCUGAUGGUACCAUUGAAGGAAGCACCGGCUAACUCCGUGCCAGCAGCCGCGGUAAUACGGAGGGUGCAAGCGUUGUUCGGAAUUAUUGGGCGUAAAGAGCGUGUAGGCGGUUUAGUAAGUCAGAUGUGAAAGCCCCGGGCUCAACCUGGGAAGUGCAUUUGAAACUGCUUUACUCGAGUAUGGGAGAGGAGAGUGGAAUUCCUGGUGUAGAGGUGAAAUUCGUAGAUAUCAGGAGGAACAUCUGUGGCGAAGGCGACUCUCUGGACCAAUACUGACGCUGAGACGCGAAAGCGUGGGUAGCAAACAGGAUUAGAUACCCUCGUAGUC